GUGUGCUUGUAGCCUGAGAUUAUAUAUAUAUAUAUAUAUGUGUGUGUGUGUGUGUGUAUACACAUGAGUUGAGGCUCAGAGUCCAGUUUGCGCAUUUGUCCUUGACCUUCUGCUUCAUUGUCUGUAGCUUGUACCUUGCUCAAGUAUUUCGGUUGCUGUAGCGUGCUCCUUUCAGUUCUGUGAGUGUAGUUUGCACUUGAAUUCAGUUGGCUUAGAGAGUUGCACAGGCACCGUGAACUGCAGAGCCGAUUCGUCACUAUGGAUUCCGAUGCGCUUCAACAAUUUCUCCUUCUAGAACCCAGUCUGACCUUCCAACCCAUUGAGAUUGAUUAUCUCUUCUACGGAGGUCCUCCUGCGGCCCCUCCGCAUGCGCCUCAAGUUCCUGUUGCAGCUGAAAUCCCCGCCCAAGCCCCACAGUCUCAAGAUACACAAUAAAGAGCAUAAUCUGAUAUAUGAGUCACCACAAAAACUAACUGACCAUGACUGAUCUUAUGAUUCGAAAGCUUCGGAGUACUUUUCCAAGUCACGAGCUGGUCACGGUGGUUCACACUUCUAAGCGGAUGGAGGCGAGGCUAUUUGCUGUACUCAUGAAAGGGGUGAAAAUUUCAAUACGGAAGAAGAUCUGAAGUGCACUGAGCAACUGUGUAAGUGAUUGCUGGAGUAAAUGUUAAUUCUACAUAAAACACUCAGUGGAUCGAAGUACAACUAUUGUGUGUGUUCAAAACACUCAUCUUUGUUCCAUCCAUUACUAUCACUUGAGCUUUUCUAAAAGGAAUAGACACAACAGAGAUGCAUUUGUUGUUGUCAUAAUUAUGAUUUCUUAAAUUUUAUGGAAGAGAACUGAUGUUUUUUUAUCAAGACAAGUCAUAGAAGAUAAUUUGAAACACAUGUCCAAUAAGAAGCACUGCUUGUUGUAUGUGGUUAUAAUUUCACUAUUUGGAAUUUUACUGAAAACACAGUACUGAAAAAUCUGCAUAUUGUUUACAAGUUUUUAUGAUAUUAAAUAUGAUUGUAAGUCAUUCUUCAAGUGUUAUAAUGAGAUGAUUAUUGUUUGAGAAUUUCUUUUUACUAUCAUAUUUGAACACUAAUAUUUCCCAGCAUCAUUUGAUUAAUCAUAUGUUUUCCCUUUAGAUACCAGACUAAAUUCAUGAUAAAAUUUGACAAACGCUUUUAGUUUUAUAAAAUGAUAUUUACAUACGUACAUUCAUAAAUUCGUAACGAAAACAUGCUGAAAUGACAGUAACUUUUAUAUUUUUAACUCAUCAAAUAAUCAAUAAUGUUCCGGAGUUUUGGUGAAGUUGUUUCAAUUCUCUAUCGAAUCAAGCUUCCUGUUCCAAGAUUCUGGUCCAAAUUGCACUCAUGCGUGGUUCAACUUCGACUCAAUCCGUCGAUAUCUGGGCAUUGAAACCCGAUCGGAUGGAGCUUUAAGCCUUGGAGCUUGGAGUUUAUAAAUAGAUGACAUUUUCUAUUGUAUGCUUUUCGAGUUAAAUGCUCAAUCCUAUAAUUAGAUGGAAUUUCACGGGUGAAUAUAUUCAUAUAUGUGUAAGGUUUCAGCCUGUAGUUAGAUUGUAAUACAAGUGACGUUAUAUUA